rnacentral:lncRNA from 1 species
CAAUAUACAGUUUGCAUGCAAAAAUAAGAAUUGGGCCAAAGCCCAAAAAUCAGCAGAUUUUGGCCCAAGGUUCUGGGCAGCAAUAGGCAAAAAAGGGCCCAAAUUAUUUUCUCCUUCUCUCUAUUAUUUGAUUGUAUUUACUUUUGUUUAUUUUACCUCUAACCUUUUAUUUGAUUUGGUUUAAUUUGAUUUAAACCCCAAAGAUAGUCAUUUCUCUUUUAUAUUUUUAAAA